rnacentral:rRNA from 1 species
CACGUAGGGCGCAAGCGUUGUCCGGAAUCAUUGGGCGUAAAGGGCUCGUAGGUGGUCAACUAAGUCGGACGUGAAAUCCCUCGGCUUAACCGGGGAACUGCGUCCGAUACUGGAUGACUUGAGUUCGGGAGAGGGAUGCGGAACUCCAGGUGUAGCGGUGAAAUGCGUAGAUAUCUGGAGGAACACCGGUGGCGAAGGCGGCAUCCUGGACCGACACUGACGCUGAGGCGCGAAAGCUAGGGGAGCAAACAGG